AUUGAACGCUGGCGGCAGGCCUAACACAUGCAAGUCGAACGGUAGCACAGAGAGCUUGCUCUCGGGUGACGAGUGGCGGACGGGUGAGUAAUGUCUGGGAAACUGCCCGAUGGAGGGGGAUAACUACUGGAAACGGUAGCUAAUACCGCAUAAUGUCGCAAGACCAAAGAGGGGGACCUUCGGGCCUCUUGCCAUCGGAUGUGCCCAGAUGGGAUUAGCUUGUAGGUGAGGUAACGGCUCACCUAGGCGACGAUCCCUAGCUGGUCUGAGAGGAUGACCAGCCACACUGGAACUGAGACACGGUCCAGACUCCUACGGGAGGCAGCAGUGGGGAAUAUUGCACAAUGGGCGCAAGCCUGAUGCAGCCAUGCCGCGUGUAUGAAGAAGGCCUUCGGGUUGUAAAGUACUUUCAGCGGGGAGGAAGGGAGUGAGGUUAAUAACCUUAUUCAUUGACGUUACCCGCAGAAGAAGCACCGGCUAACUCCGUGCCAGCAGCCGCGGUAAUACGGAAGGUGCAAGCGUUAAUCGGAAUUACUGGGCGUAAAGCGCACGCAGGCGGUCUGUCAAGUCGGAUGUGAAAUCCCCGGGCUCAACCUGGGAACUGCAUUCGAAACUGGCAGGCUGGAGUCUUGUAGAGGGGGGUAGAAUUCCAGGUGUAGCGGUGAAAUGCGUAGAGAUCUGGAGGAAUACCGGUGGCGAAGGCGGCCCCCUGGACAAAGACUGACGCUCAGGUGCGAAAGCGUGGGGAGCAAACAGGAUUAGAUACCCUGGUAGUCCACGCUGUAAACGAUGUCGACUUGGAGGUUGUUCCCUUGAGGAGUGGCUUCCGGAGCUAACGCGUUAAGUCGACCGCCUGGGGAGUACGGCCGCAAGGUUAAAACUCAAAUGAAUUGACGGGGGCCCGCACAAGCGGUGGAGCAUGUGGUUUAAUUCGAUGCAACGCGAAGAACCUUACCUACUCUUGACAUCCAGAGAACUUAGCAGAGAUGCUUUGGUGCCUUCGGGAACUCUGAGACAGGUGCUGCAUGGCUGUCGUCAGCUCGUGUUGUGAAAUGUUGGGUUAAGUCCCGCAACGAGCGCAACCCUUAUCCUUUGUUGCCAGCGGUCCGGCCGGGAACUCAAAGGAGACUGCCAGUGAUAAACUGGAGGAAGGUGGGGAUGACGUCAAGUCAUCAUGGCCCUUACGAGUAGGGCUACACACGUGCUACAAUGGCAUAUACAAAGAGAAGCGACCUCGCGAGAGCAAGCGGACCUCAUAAAGUAUGUCGUAGUCCGGAUUGGAGUCUGCAACUCGACUCCAUGAAGUCGGAAUCGCUAGUAAUCGUGGAUCAGAAUGCCACGGUGAAUACGUUCCCGGGCCU
rnacentral:rRNA from 1 species